rnacentral:tRNA from 1 species
GGGGGAUAUGGCGAAAUCGGUAGACGCUACGGACUU